AUGAGGAUCACCAAACAAUGCAACCUGCCACUUUCUUUGGGUAAGCAUUAUCGCUCAAAUGUGUUGUGUGAUGUGGUUGACAUGUAUGCCAACCAUGUUCUUCUUGGGAGGCAUUGGCAAUUUGAUGUGGAUACUACACACAAGGGCAAGGAAAAUUCUUACUCUUUCAUUUGGAAUAAGAGAAAGAUCAUUAUCUUACCAAACAAAAUCGAAGGUAAUACCUCUAAGGAGGAGGGGAAAACUAUGUUAACUAUCUCCCAUACCUCUCAUGAGUUUAUGGAAGACUUGAAGGAGGCAGAUUUGUGUGAUGCACUUGUUGUAAAGGGAGAAGAGCACCUGACUGUUGAAAUUCCAGCAAAGGUACGUGGUUUAUUGGCAGAAUUUUAG
rnacentral:rRNA from 1 species